rnacentral:rRNA from 1 species
CGCUGGCGGCCUGCCUAACACAUGCAAGUCGAGGGGCAGCGAGAUCAGUGCUUGCACUGAUUGUCGGCGACCGGCGCACGGGUGCGUAACCGCGUAUGCAACCUACCCAUUACAGGGGGAUAACACUGAGAAAUCGGUACUAAUACCCCAUAACAUCCAGGGAGGCAUCUUCUUGGGUUGAAAACUCCGGUGGUAAUGGAUGGGCAUGCGUUGUAUUAGUUAGUCGGUGGGGUAACGGCUCACCAAGACAACGAUACAUAGGGGGACUGAGAGGUUAACCCCCCACAUUGGUACUGAGACACGGACCAAACUCCUACGGGAGGCAGCAGUGAGGAAUAUUGGUCAAUGGACGCAAGUCUGAACCAGCCAUGCCGCGUGCAGGAAGACGGCUCUAUGAGUUGUAAACUGCUUUUGUACGAGGGUAAACGCAGAUACGCGUAUCUGUCUGAAAGUAUCGUACGAAUAAGGAUCGGCUAACUCCGUGCCAGCAGCCGCGGUAAUACGGAGGAUUCAAGCAUUAUCCGGAUUUAUUGGGUUUAAAGGGUGCGUAGGUGGUCGGAUAAGUUAGAGGUGAAAUCCCGGGGCUCAACUUCGGAAUUGCCUCUGAUACUGUUCGGCUAGAGAGUAGUUGCGGUAGGCGGAAUGUAUGGUGUAGCGGUGAAAUGCUUAGAGAUCAUACAGAACACCGAUUGCGAAGGCAGCUUACCAAGCUACUUCUGACGUUGAGGCACGAAAGCGUGGGGAGCGAACAGGAUUAGAUACCCUGGUAGUCCACGCAGUAAACGAUGAUAACUCGUUGUCGGCGAUACAGUGUCGGUGACUAAGCGAAAGCGAUAAGUUAUCCACCUGGGGAGUACGUUCGCAAGAAUGAAACUCAAAGGAAUUGACGGGGGCCCGCACAAGCGGAGGAACAUGUGGUUUAAUUCGAUGAUACGCGAGGAACCUUACCCGGGCUUGAAAGUUAGUGACGGAUCUUGAAAGAGGUCUUCCCUUCGGGGCACGAAACUAGGUGCUGCAUGGUUGUCGUCAGCUCGUGCCGUGAGGUGUCGGGUUAAGUCCCAUAACGAGCGCAACCCCUACCGUUAGUUGCCAGCAGGUCAAGCUGGGCACUCUGACGGGACUGCCGGUGUAAGCCGAGAGGAAGGUGGGGAUGACGUCAAAUCAGCACGGCCCUUACGUCCGGGGCUACACACGUGUUACAAUGGCAGGUACAGAGGGCAGCUACCCAGCGAUGGGAUGCGAAUCUCGAAAGCCUGUCUCAGUUCGGAUUGGAGGCUGAAACCCGCCUCCAUGAAGUUGGAUUCGCUAGUAAUCGUGCAUCAGCCAUGGCGCGGUGAAUACGUUCCCGGGCCUUGCACACACCGCCCGUCAAG